GCUCGCCUGAGGGAUCCCUCUGAAACUGUAGGCCAUCCCCAACCCAGAUCCCACCUUCUCUCUCUCUCAUCCCUAUCUACAUUACGCGGCGCAGAUCUGCCGAAACCCUAAGACUUCCAGUUCAAAUCUUUGACUCUGAGCAAAGAAGAAACUGAGCUCAAAGCCAUGGACUUUUUUUUUUUUUUUGUGUUUUUGUAUUUUUUUUUAAUAUUGAAGUGGGCUCAUAUUGACACAUGGCGCUCAGUUAUUGUCCACGUGAGUGCCAUGUCAUUACUUAACAGAAGUUCUAACAGAAAACUUAAUAGAUGUAUGAAACUGUCCCAAAAUUAAGACUUGAGGUAUGACUUUGGGAUGAAAAAAACUUUAUGUACCAAAUGUUGAAAACCACGAAACUUCAGGUUAGUAAAUAGAGAUUAACCCAUGUUUAAUUAUCUCACACAAUAACAAGAUAACAUUGUGAAAACAAAUGGGAGAUCACAAAACUCAAACGUGGAAGAAAAAAAAUCCAAAAACUGGUAACAAACCAGAAACUACUUCCUAAAAAUGGGGUCACUUAAAAAGUAAUAUCCACCUAAAAGGACAUAUUCAAAAUUCAGUAAUUAGACCAUUCUUGUAGAUGUAACAUCACACGUCGUCCAGGGAAGUGGAUCCUCUAAACCUUAUAUGUAUAUUUUCAUCUUUACCUAGCACGAGGUUUUUUGGAAGUUCACUGGCUUCAGGUUCCAUCGGAACUCCGAAGUUAAGCGAGUCCGUGCGAAAGCAAUCCCAAGAUGGGUGACCCACUGGGAAGUUCUCGUGUGAGUUCCCAUAAACAAAAUCGUGAGGGCGUGGUCGGGGCCUAAAGUGGACAAUAUCGUGUUACGGCGGAGUCGAGCCCAGGAUGUGGUAGGGGCCUGGGCCGGGAUGCGACAAUUUGGUAUCAGAAUCAAUCACGAAUAAAACAAUGUGUUCAUACACACAAGUGAGUAGGCAAAUGAUGGUAUUAAAUAUAAAAGUUAGGUGAUGAACCUACCAAUCACGAAUAAAACAAUUUAAUUUCAAUAUAUUAAGAGGUAUUCAUCAAUUCCCCCCUGAACUUGUGACUAUUGGCCAAUUUCCCCCCUCAACUUUAAUUUUGGCCAAUUUCCCCCCUCAACUCUCAUAAUUAGUCAAUUUCCCCCCUCAACUUUAAUUUGGCCAAUUUCCCCCCUCAACUCUCAUAAUUAGUCAAUUUGCACCCUACUAUUAAUUUUUUAAUUUGAUCAUAAUUAAACAAGUGUGUGUAAGAAACUAAAUAAGAUGUAUGUUAAUCAUUUUCCUAUGUCUUUAUCCUAUUACAAAUAGAUUAAAAUUUAGAAUUUUACAAUUUAUCAUAGAUAGUAUUAUUAGUCAUAAUAAAUCAGUAUGGAGUAAUUUUAUUUGAUUUUUUACUAUACAAAAUUGAUAACGAAAAUGAUUGACAUUUUUGUAUGUGAAUACAAUUUUCUUUAUAAAAGUGAAAGCUAAGUUCAAGUAAAUUGCGGAGAAUCGAGGUUUAGUGCAAAAAUGGCUAGUCAAUUCAUAAUUUUCAACUCCUUAUUAAGAAUAACUCAUUUUAUUGAAAUAGGUCUGAUCCAUGAGUUUAGGGUUAUUAUUUCUUCUUCUACAUGCUUUAAACCCGAUUCAUAACUUUUUCUUAUAAUCAACCCAUAUCACAUACUAAUUAUAUUAUGUUUUUGUACAUUUUACCUAUAUUAUGCAGGUGAGUUUAUGUUAAUUUUAGUACUUUGUUGGAAGUUAUUAGAAAGAUUGAAAGAAAAAAAAAUAGAUGGAAAAUUAAAAAAAAUUAACAAUAGGGUGCAAAUUGACUAAUUAUGAGAGUUGAGGGGAGAAAUUGGCCAAAAUUAAAGUUGAGAGGGGAAAUUGGCCAAUAGUCACAAGUUCAAGGGGGGAAUUGAUGAAUACCUCUAAUAUUAAAUAUAAAAGUUGAUCUUCAAUAUAGGGCAUUCACACUCCUUUUACAAUAAAUAAAAAAUUUAAUUUCAAUGAUUGGCUCUAAACCAUGAAAAAUAAAUAAAUAAAUAAACAUGAAAACCACAUGUCUACUUUCAUAAAUUGUAGUGGAAGAAAUUAAUUUCAAGUGAAAAUUGAAGGGUCGCCACCACAAGAAUCGUUUUCCAUAAAUAGUAAUGAAACCAAAGAAAAAGAAAACACAAAAACUAAACUGUCAUACACAUCAACGUAACGUGUACGGAGUACCACCUGCCCACUACCUAUAUACGAUGACUCGAUUUUCUCCUCCCUCCCUCCCUCACCCCCUUUGUAUUUUGCCUGUCUCCGAGGAAACCAGAAAAACAAUGGCUUUCUGCAGGAGGAAGGACGGAUGAGUAUAUGAGAAGAAGUGGGAAUACAGUAUGCGAACGCUUUGUGAUGUGUGCGAGAGCGCCGCUGCCAUCCUCUUCUGUGCCGCCGACGAGGCCGCCCUUUGCCGUUCCUGUGACGAAAAGGUUCUUCAUUUCUUCUUUCCCUUUGCUUUUAUUUAUGCAAACAUUGACUUUUAGUUAUAUGAUCCUUCCAAUGAUUUUAGCACGAACAUUUGCAAGUUUUUGGGAAAUUGAAUUUUGUGGGUCUGUUUUCUGAUUGUUAGUCUUGAUUUUGGUUAUUGCAAGCUAAUUCACUGGUGGUUUUUUUUUUUAGUACAAACAAUACUCUACAUUAAGGGGGAGCGGGGGGGGGGAUUAAGCAUGAUUGCUUACUGCUUGAACUUGUUUGGCGAGUAUACGAGGUUUUGUAUCAAACUAUGAGUACCCAGAUGAUGUGGAAGUCAUACUAUACAAUUUGGAAUUGUGAAAGUGAGAUUGGUAAAUUUAAUCAACAGUUCACAUUAGUGAUGAAUUUUGAGAUGUUUGGUUAGAGAAGUGAUUGGCGAUGGGUUGCUAUCUGAAUGUAGCGUGGUUCGAAAAUCAUGCGUUAUACACAAGUCUGACGUUUGCUUCGUAAUUUUGAAGUCUUUCUGCCAUUUAUGUGUAUGGAAAUCAUGACUACCGAAGAUGUUUGAAUUCUUAGUCUUUUCUUUGCUUUGCAUAGCUCUCCUUUCAAAUUGUAGUAGAAGCAUGAUUUUGUUCUUCUGUGUUGGAAUUGCAGGUCCAUCUGUGUAAUAGACUUGCCAAUAGACAUGUACGGGUUGGGCUAGCCACACCCAGUGACAUUCCUUGCUGUGAUAUUUGCGAAAAUGCACCUGGUAUGCUAGACUUCAAUGUUUUAAACUUUUAGUUUUUGUGAGCUAUGUUAAACUUAUGUAGAAGAAUUUUCAAGACUUAUUUCCCUUGGAAAACAUACAUGUAGCGUUCUUUUACUGUGAGGUAGAUGGUAGUUCUCUUUGCCUGCAGUGUGAUAUGAUUGUACAUGUCGGUGGGAAAAGAACCCAUGGGAGGUAUCUCCUCUUCAGGCAGAGAGUUGAGGUUUGUGUCUCUCUACUGGAGGGUUUGGGUUAAGGUUAUGUAUAUAGGCCUCCAGGGCUUAAUUUCUUUUCUCUCUUGGGGCGUUUCUCUAUAGUUUCCAGGGAAUAAGCUUGGCCGUUCAGAGGAACUAGGACUUCAACCACUUGACCAAAAGAAGGUACGAAGGGACGAAAAUCAGCUGCCCGAUGUAAAACCAAAAGAGAAUGAACAUAAUCACAAUAUCUCUCCAACUGCAGUCCUAGAAAACAAUAUUGACGGUGACUACAAGAUAGACAAUACAUUGAUUGAUCUUAAUACCAGGCCCCAAAGAAUACGCAGGCAAGCUUCAAAACCAGGUAAAAAUAUAUUUCCUCAUGUUGAUUUUACUAUCUGGUUGGGUUCUUUAAUAAGGCAUUCUUGUCUUCUUAUUAACAAGGGAUUCUUUGUCUUCUAAACGUGCAAAUUAUUGACAUGCAGUUUGAAAGUUGUGAACUCUAGUUCUCUCCCUUUUAUUCUUCUCAAAAAAAAAUUAUUUGUACAUUAUAAGCAUUUUGAGUAAUCAAAACAACAUUUAUCUUGCCUUCAUAUUUAGGAACAAGGUGUGGGUGUUCUAUAUGGCUUGAAUGACGAAUCUGUAAGUGUCGUUCCAGUUGGAUCCUUCAAAAAAUAGCCUGAAAAGUGAGAAAGGUACAAUUUGCGUAUCAUAUUAUCCUCAUCCAUUUUUUUUAUGUUUUCAAGAUUUUCUUGUACGAAGUUAAAUUGCUGCUUAUAGCUCAGGAAAAAUCUCUAGCAUUGACUUUGAUGUGUUUAAAUUCAGAAAUGAAAAGGAUUGUUCAAAUCAAUGGUUUGCAUGCACAUGCUUAUGUAAAAUACAUGGGAAUCUGCAUUGGAUUUUUUCUUUCAAAAUGCUAGAAAAUGAGUGAAACUUUUCUCAUAUUGGGUCACUAACAAGGAGGGAUAUUUUGAUACCAGUCCCAAAGAACGUAUUUGGUUUUGAGCAACUUUAAUUGCUAGCAGAAAACGAUACAAUUAAGGCUUACAAAGCCGCAAUUUCUUCUUGGUAAUCUAUUUCUUUCCCCAAGAACUUGGAUGGUAAGUUUGAACUGAGACGGAUGGUUGACAUUACAAAGAAAUUGCACCUGUUGUGCAUUUGUGGGAAGGGCAUCUUCUCCCUCCACUUUGCUUAUUAGCCUUACUAUCUUUAAAGGUUUGCUAGAAAUAAAGAGGUGGAGAUUAUAUUGGCUUCCCAUUAUACUGUGUACUCGAUCGAAGAAAAGAUAAGUCGGGAGAAAGUUAAUAACUCUGUUUAUCAAAUAACACAUAGAUGCUGAUAUUUUUCGGUUCUUGUUUUGAAAUGGGUCGAGUGUAGAUAUAAACAACUUGUUUAAGAUCCCCAACUAUUUGUAUUUCUGUUUUCUGUCUGAUCACGUUUUUUAUCUAAUGAGAUUAUCUCUGUUCUUUGUCAUCGUCGUCCAAUAAAUUUGCAAACCCUUCUCUUCCUCUACAUUGUGGCUGCAGAUGUUGUGGACAAACUACCGUUGCACAAUCUUGGUUGACGACUUACGCACUUGUAUUCUAAUUUGUACCUUUCUUCUGUUUUCUUUGGAUCAGCAUCAGUCUGUCACGUUACUCAUGCAAAGUAGAUUAGAUGAAAACUCUUUUGAGUUUGUAUUAUCACAAGCAAUGUGUUUAGCUUGAAAGAGAGAUAAGUGAGAGUCAUUAGUACAGUUUGUUCAAAGUUAAGUUAUCGAAGUACAAUGCCGCUGUUGACAUUCCUCUUACUUGCACUUCGAUGACAUUUUUAUCAAAUCUUAGAAAGGAAAUGUGAACUAGUUUCAAUUGAAGUUGAAUGCUUCCCCAAAAACUCAUGUGAUUUGGCUUUUAAAUGAGAACUUAAUCAGGAUUACUUAUAUAGUUUCUGUGUAUGCACAAAGGCGAUCCAAGGAGGGAGAAAACUUUUCCUAUACCCGUUGCAUGAAAUGGGAGUCUAAUGUUCUCUGCAUCAUGUGCUACUCAUAUAACCAUGAAUGUGGAACACCUGUUUCGUACAACAUUUUCAAGAAACAGUAGUUGAAGACAUCCCUGAGAAACGCAUGGUGGGGAUGUGUUAAUGUAGUCUACUGAUUCGAACUUGGUCAUCUUGAUAGAUUUUGAUGUAGUCUAAUGAUUCGAACCAUGUUAUCAGACUGAGAGAAAUCACUGAAACAUUUCCAAGUUUUUUCCAGACGAGCUAUGUGCCGCGAAGGAUCAAGCUGAUGGAUUUCUGAAAAAUUAUGCCUGAAAGUAGCAAAAUUUUUGGGGUUCAGGUUAACUUAUCAACCGAAGACGCAAACUUCAAGCAUGAAAAUAUCCGAUUGAAUAACUACCGGCUAACUAACUCAUCAUCAAGAAGCUUAUUAAGUUGCUAAAAAGCACAUAAAAUGUUCAUCAACAAAAAUAGUCUUUCAUGGCUAUAAAGCAUUACACACAUAAGAGAUCCAUGUCUCCUUCCUCCAUUAACAUCAACAUCACCAUCUGCUAUUUGUUCUUCAUCAUCUACAUCGUCGGUACAAAUUACUUAGUACACGUAGCCCUUGACGAACAAUUCCUUCUUUGCCUCCUCAGACUCUCCUUCUCCGGUGUACUUGCCAAGUUGUGCGAGUGAGUUGGCCUUGGCACGGAUGAGCAGAGUAUCCUGAGCUGCCUUCACGUUCUCGGGUCUGCCUCCCCAUGUCUUCAAACAGGUGUUUUGGAGAGCUCUGGCAUAGGAGAACGACACGUGCCAUGGGUUUGGCGAUUGGUUCAUCGCAUUCAAGUUCAGGGUUGCCUCGACCUCAGAUUGUCCACCAGACAAAAACUGCGCAACAAACACAAUUUCAUCAUCGGUACAUGAUAUAUUCUCAUCACAAAAGAAAACAAUUAGUAUCAAGUUUUUCGAACACUUGCCAUGAUCCCGGGGACAGCUGGGGGGAUUCUCCUGUGGAGGAGCUUGAGGGUGUAGUCCGCAACCUGUUGAGGGGUGGCUCUUUCCUUGGCCUCUGCACCAGGAGUAACCAUACUUGGCUUGAGGAGGAUACCCUCGAACAAGACAUUGUUCUCGGCUAGGUAGAAGAAAACCUCGGCCCACACCUUCAAGGCGACUUCGAAAGUCCUUUCAAUGGUGUGUUCACCAUCAAGCAAGAUCUCUGGCUCAACAAUUGGGACCAAACCACUGUCCUAAAGAAUCAAGAAGCAAGCACUUUCUCAAUCAGAAACACAUCCUAACUAGACACAAAACAAAACCCUGCAGUCUAAGUAGCAACUUAAUAGCAAUUAGUCAAUCAUAUAUGAAAUCAACUUGCAUAGCAUAUCAGUUCUCUUACUUGUGCAAUGGAAGCGUAGCGAGCGAGACCCCAUGCUGCUUCCUUUACUGCAAGAGCUGAUGGGCCAUUGGGGAUGCUCACAACGGUACGCCUAGUUCAUCAAGUUGGUAAUUACGUUACAUUUUACUGUCAUCAAUUUACCUUAUGGAGCUAGAAUUAGUUGCCAAAAUAACAUGGGGAAUUCAGAUUUGAUCCGUACCAUUUGGCGAAACGAGCUCCCUGCUGGUAGUAGGCAGCAGUGCGAGAGGCAAGACCAUCAAGACCUUGGCACCAG
rnacentral:lncRNA from 1 species